CCAGUGCUUGCACUGGUGCUCGAGUGGCGAACGGGUGAGUAACACGUGGGUGAUCUGCCCUGCACUUUGGGAUAAGCCUGGGAAACUGGGUCUAAUACCAGAUAGGACCAUGCUUUGGAUGGUGUGGUGGAAAGUUUUUUCGGUGUGGGAUGAGCUUGCGGCCUAUCAGCUUGUUGGUGGGGUAAUGGCCUACCAAGGCGUCGACGGGUAGCCGGCCUGAGAGGGUGUACGGCCACAUUGGGACUGAGAUACGGCCCAGACUCCUACGGGAGGCAGCAGUGGGGAAUAUUGCACAAUGGGCGCAAGCCUGAUGCAGCGACGCCGCGUGGGGGAUGACGGCCUUCGGGUUGUAAACUCCUUUCGCAACUGACGAAGCUUUUUGUGACGGUAGGUUGAGAAGAAGCACCGGCUAACUACGUGCCAGCAGCCGCGGUAAUACGUAGGGUGCGAGCGUUGUCCGGAAUUACUGGGCGUAAAGAGCUCGUAGGUGGUUUGUCGCGUCGUGUGUGAAAUUCCGGGGCUUAACUUCGGGGUUGCAUACGAUACGGGCAUAACUUGAGUGCUGUAGGGGAGACUGGAAUUCCUGGUGUAGCGGUGAAAUGCGCAGAUAUCAGGAGGAACACCGAUGGCGAAGGCAGGUCUCUGGGCAGUAGCUGACGCUGAGGAGCGAAAGCAUGGGGAGCGAACAGGAUUAGAUACCCUGGUAGUCCAUGCCGUAAACGGUGGGCGCUAGGUGUGAGGCCCUUCCACGGGCUUCGUGCCGUAGCUAACGCAUUAAGCGCCCCGCCUGGGGAGUACGGCCGCAAGGCUAAAACUCAAAGGAAUUGACGGGGGCCCGCACAAGCGGCGGAGCAUGUGGAUUAAUUCGAUGCAACGCGAAGAACCUUACCUGGGCUUGACAUACACUGAAUCGGGCUAGAGAUAGUCUUUCCCUUGUGGUUGGUGUACAGGUGGUGCAUGGUUGUCGUCAGCUCGUGUCGUGAGAUGUUGGGUUAAGUCCCGCAACGAGCGCAACCCUUGUCUUAUGUUGCCAGCAUGUUGUGGUGGGCACUUAUGAGAGACUGCCGGGGUUAAC
rnacentral:rRNA from 1 species